rnacentral:rRNA from 1 species
AACGAACGCUGGCGGCAUGCCUAACACAUGCAAGUCGAACGAGACCUGCGGGUCUAGUGGCGCACGGGUGCGUAACGCGUGGGAACCUGCCCUUAGGUUCGGAAUAACUCCCCGAAAGGGGUGCUAAUACCGGAUAAUGUCUUCGGACCAAAGAUUUAUCGCCUUUGGAUGGGCCCGCGUUGGAUUAGCUAGUUGGUAGGGUAAAAGCCUACCAAGGCGACGAUCCAUAGCUGGUCUGAGAGGAUGAGCAGCCACACUGGGACUGAGACACGGCCCAGACUCUUACGGGAGGGAGCAGUGGGGAAUAUUGGACAAUGGGCGAAAGCCUGAUGCAGCUCUGCCGCGUGAGUGAUGAAGGCCUUAGGGUUGUAAAGCUAUUUUACCCGGGAUGAUAAUGACAGUACCGGGAGAAUAAGCUCCGGCUAACUCCGUG